rnacentral:rRNA from 1 species
CCUACGGGAUGCAGCAGUGAGGAAUAUUGGUCAAUGGACGAAAGUCUGAACCAGCCAAGUCGCGUGAAGGAUGAAGGCCCUCUGGAUUGUAAACUUCUUUUGUAAGGGAAUAAAACGCGGCACGUGUGCCUUUUUGCAUGUACUUUAUGAAUAAGGAUCGGCUAACUCCGUGCCAGCAGCCGCGGUAAUACGGAGGAUCCGAGCGUUAUCCGGAUUUAUUGGGUUUAAAGGGUGCGUAGAUGGGUUGUUAAGUCAGUUGUGAAAGGUUGCGGCUCAACCGUAAAAUUGCAAUUGAUACUGGCAGUCUUGAGUGCAGGAGAGGUAGGCGGAAUUCGUGGUGUAGCGGUGAAAUGCUUAGAUAUCACGAAGAACCCCGAUUGCGAAGGCAGCUUACUAAACUGUGACUGACAUUGAGGCUCGAAAGUGUGGGUAUCAAACAGGAUUAGAUACCCUUGUAGUC